UGGGGAAUCUUGGACAAUGGGCGCAAGCCUGAUCCAGCCAUGCCGCGUGAGUGAAGAAGGCCUUAGGGUUGUAAAACUCUUUCGCCGGAGAAGAUAAUGACGGUAUCCGGAGAAGAAGCCCCGGCUAACUUCGUGCCAGCAGCCGCGGUAAUACGAAGGGGGCUAGCGUUGUUCGGAAUUACUGGGCGUAAAGCGCACGUAGGCGGGUUUGUAAGUAGGGGGUGAAAUCCCAGGGCUCAACCCUGGAACUGCCUUCUAGACUGCAAGCCUGGAGGUCAGGAGAGGCGAGUGGAAUACCGAGUGUAGAGGUGAAAUUCGUAGAUAUUCGGUGGAACACCAGUGGCGAAGGCGACUCGCUGGACUGAUACUGACGCUGAGGUGCGAAAGCGUGGGGAGCAAACA
rnacentral:rRNA from 1 species